GGACAUGAUUUAGUGGUGGGUUGUUGGAGUUAGGAUAGUAUGGUUAGGUUGCAGUUAGACUUGAUGAUCUUGAAGGUCAUUUCCAACCUGAGCAAUUCUAUGAUUCUAUGAUUGCUCUUCUGGAUUUCUCAUCCAUUUUCUGGAAUUUUCUUCUAAUGUUGGGUGCUGAUUGACCCACAAAUAAGGUACUAAUCGUUACUCUAUUUGCCUCAUCUUCAAGAUCUAAGUGAACCCAUUCUCAGGUUACCUCAUGCAAUCACUCAUAAAAGGCAGAUAUACCACUUGAUACAAUUUAACAAGAUAUUUUGGUCUAGAACCUCAAUUUUUAUUUUUGUAUGAAAUUAAUUGCUGUUAUUGCUGUAUCAUUAACCUUCCAGCACUCACAUUAAGAUCUCACUUCAUUUCCUAAACUGGCAUAAAUCUCUUGGGGCUAUCCCUAGCAUACUGUCUAUUGUUCUGUUCUUUUGCUUUUUCCACAAGCAUUCUCUUUUCUCUGGCAUGGAUGGAUAAAUCAUUCAACAAUACCUGUAUAUCCUGCCAACCUGGAUUAUGGUUUUCAACAAUUAUUAUAAAAGUCUGGUGCGUCUUACUGGGGUUUUUCUGAGGUGAUCUUGCUAACUCUUUCCAAUUCAUCAGCUCUGAUGUUGUAAAAUGUACUUUUUACAUAUAAAGGCAAUCACUGUGACCCUACUGCUUUAUGCAAAGGAGUCUAAAUUGCAGAAUGUUGCUGUGCUCAUGUUCUCUCUACAACUGGGCUAAAAGCCUCACCAUCCCUCUCUCCAAUUUCUACUCCAUUAGUGAUACUUUCCCUUUCUGGUGUCACUAACAUUUGAAUAUCUUCUUUUUCCUCUUCCAGCUUUAGAUAUUUUUUCCCUAUACUGCAAGCAGAACAUCAUCUUGAUAUCUUUUCCUGUCUUUCACUAUCACCAUUACAUUAGAAUCCAAGGUCAUUUGUUUACUUUCUUUUUAUGGAGUUUCAUGAUCAUUUUGUAAAACAAAGAAAAUUCUACAUAGAGUCUUUCAUCCCAUUUUUCUAACUUUCUUCAAAGCACAUAUAGUGUCAAAGAGUCAUUUUCUGUCAAUUUCACUUUCCUGUUUAUACAUUGGCCACCAUGAUUACAAUAUUCAACCAUUUCUCCUUUUGUUAGGAGAUGCAGUAGGAUUUCUCCUACUGUUUUAAGAUACAACUCAAGGGGGAAUAAGGAGGUAUUGUGGAUCCCUGAGCACUCAUAUUUUUGCCUAAAAAGAAUGUUCUCAACCAAGACUUUAUAUACUCCAGUUACUGAUGAACAUAUAUGAUCAAUCUCUAAUGUGUUUAUGCAUGCAUGUAUAUCCCAAUAUCAUAUGCUCCAAUCAUCACUGUCUAAGCACAUACUAUUAUUAAACAUAUACCUGUUAAACUCUCAUACAACUGUGCAUGCAUGCAUAACCCAAUACUAUAUACUUCAGUUGUCCCUAUCCAAGUGCAUAUGACUGUUAAAUGUACAUAUUAAUGUCUUAUACAAAUAGCAAUAUUUAAUGUAGCAAGUGUUGCACCACUCCAGCUGGGGAGAAUGCUCAUGGAGUCCUUAAUCAAAAGGGCAGUGCAUGCUGGACUCUGAAGAGCAGUGUCUCCCUGCCAGCAGCCAGCAAGUCAAUUUGAUCAAGGAGUCACAGCAGUCUCAUUUGAGUUUCCAGAAACUGUUGUCCAAAAAGUGGAUUUGUUACCCAGUGUGCAACGAACCAAUUCCUACAUGCUGAGGAUAGACAUUGCUUUUUAUUCUUUCUGAGGUGCCGGUAGAAGUUUUCAUAGCUCAAGCACAAUAAAGCAAGUUUCUUCACCAUAAUCAUACAUUGAAUUCCCAUAUGCUCUACCUAUCUAAUACAGAAGAAACACCUACUACCUACAUAUUCAUAAGAUUAAGCAAUCAUGAUUCUCCAUCCCCUUUUGACUAUUUUCCUGGCCAUCUGUGCUUGUAUGGGGUUAUUUGGGGGUCUUAUUCUACCCUCAGUGAUCUUUUGGGGAAUGCACCAUUACUCUUUUUAUCUUUAUAUGGUCAUCUUAUAACCAACUGAACAGUUCUCCUCUUGUCAAUUGUCCAAGAAGAACAAUUGUUCUUGAUUAAUUAGAUAACAUCAAUAGCAAGGACAUUCUGUUUUAGUAUAAUGUUUCAGUACUUGAUCAGAAGGUUUUAUGUUCAUGCCAAUUAAACAUAGACAAUGUUCUUUUCUUUCCAAGGGAAGAUUAUUGUUUCCAUUUAUCUCCUACUUUAUAAAGUUUUGAGGUAUCUGUAUGGUAUCACUGUCAGAGACAGAAUACUUGAUGUGUCACUGUGCCUAAUACUGAGCCUCCUGCGGUUCCGUAGCAAAAUUCUUGUCUUCAUGGGUAAAAUGUACUUACCACAUGGCAAGCGAGAAGAUCUUAUAACUGCGGGAAGCAAGUUUUUUAGAAGUUAGUAUUAUUGAAUGGAAGACAUGAGUGAUCUCAGCUCCAACACUGAAAUAACAAGCAAGCAAGAACCCGUGUGAGCCUGUCCUAGAGUGAAUGAACCCUUCAUCCUGCAGACCAGCAGGAGAAAUGUGGUGAAGCAAGCUCAGAGAAGUUAAUAUGAGAUGGAACAAGCUUUGCAGAGA